rnacentral:rRNA from 1 species
UACGUAGGUGGCAAGCGUUGUCCGGAAUUAUUGGGCGUAAAGCGCGCGCAGGUGGUUCCUUAAGUCUGAUGUGAAAGCCCACGGCUCAACCGUGGAGGGUCAUUGGAAACUGGGGAACUUGAGUGCAGAAGAGGAAAGUGGAAUUCCAAGUGUAGCGGUGAAAUGCGUAGAUAUUGGGAGGAACACCAGUGGCGAAGGCGGCUCACUGGACCGGUUCUGACGCUGAGGCGCGAAAGCGUGGGGAGCAAACGGG